UUUUCGUCUGUACGUGAGAGGAUGAGAAUCUCCGAAGGAGGUUUGAGCCGAACGUAGUGAGACCACGUUGCUUUUAGCAACGGCCCGCAGGGCAAGCAUCGAAGAUGUGCAUAAUCCUCUCAUGCCGACCA
rnacentral:sRNA from 1 species